GCUUUGUUAUGCUAUUUAAAGAAAAGCAAGAAGUUAAAAAUACAAUUAUUAAUUGAAACCAUGAAUUUUUAUUCCUAGAAAGAUUUAGAUGCCCACACCUGUUUUUUGAUUACAUGCAUUAUGCUUUUGUCUUAUGAACAUCAUUUCAAUGUGAGCUUGGUGGAGAUUUUGUAUUUUCUUUACAUCAGCGCAGCCUUUGAUUUGUUGAUGGAAAAUGAAGAGCAAAAGACAAGAAAAGUACAUUUUAUUUUCUGUUAAAGACUUGAUGUAAUUUGAGUUUGAUGCUGGUGUAUUAUAAUAAUGUUGAGAUGUUCUGAUGCAAUAUUUUGAGUGAAAUGAAGUUUUACAUAUUAUGAAUUGGGGAGAUACAUUAUGCAUGCAUGGGCAGCUAAGCACAUGGCACAAAUGAUGUCAUUAUCUGCCUGAAUGAUCAUUAUCUGAAUUUUAUAGUAAAACUGCUUCAUAUCUUGUGUGGCCUAUGUGAUGAUUUGAGCUUCAUUCCUUGAACUUCCUUAAAUUUUAUUGAAUGUGAUAAAAAUCUUUGCUUCAUGAUUCAGAUAUGAGAAGUAUCA
rnacentral:misc_RNA from 1 species